AACUCCUAUCAACGUAACGUUUCUGCAGGUGAACUUGCGGAAGUUUCAUUAUUAAAUUUUCAUUCAUUACGCAUGUCAACCAGCUGAACCACAAGUUGUGUCCUGUUCUUCGGCUGUAAUGCCCUAGUCUGUAAUCGAUAGGGUAGGCCAAACCACUGACGGACUUUGAGCCGUCAGUUUUUUUACUAACACGAUAAUCAUUGACUGUGACUGAAAACAUCUUUAAUUAUUAAAGACAACUUUUAGCAAUGGAUCUCUAGGCUCUC
rnacentral:misc_RNA from 1 species